AUUGAACGCUGGCGGCAUGCCUUACACAUGCAAGCCGAACGGUAACGCGGGGCAACCUGGCGACGAGUGGCGAACGGGUGAGUAAUGCAUCGGAACGUGCCCAGUAGUGGGGGAUAGCCCGGCGAAAGCCGGAUUAAUACCGCAUACGACCUACGGGUGAAAGGGGGGGAUCGCAAGACCUCUCGCUAUUGGAGCGGCCGAUGUCAGAUUAGGUAGUUGGUGGGGUAAAAGCCUACCAAGCCGACGAUCUGUAGCUGGUCUGAGAGGACGACCAGCUACACUGGGACUGAGACACGGCCCAGACUCCUACGGGAGGCAGCAGUGGGGAAUUUUGGACAAUGGGGGAAACCCUGAUCCAGCCAUGCCGCGUGCGGGAAGAAGGCCUUCGGGUUGUAAACCGCUUUUGUCAGGGAAGAAACGCUCUGGGCUAAUACCUUGGAGUAAUGACGGUACCUGAAGAAUAAGCACCGGCUAACUACGUGCCAGCCGCCGCAGUAAGAC
rnacentral:rRNA from 1 species